GUCUGCAACUCGACUACAUGAAGCUGGAAUCGCUAGUAAUCGCGAAUCAGAAUGUCGCGGUGAAUACGUUCCCGGGUCUUGUACACACCGCCCGUCACACCAUGGGAGUCGGGAAUGCCCGAAGUCAGUGACCCCAACCCAAGGGAGGGAGCUGCCGAAGGCAGGCCUGGUGACUGGGGUGAAGUCGUAACAAGGUACC
rnacentral:rRNA from 1 species